rnacentral:ncRNA from 1 species
AGUCAAACGAAGAAGGGGAGGAGUACAUCCCGAUCCCGUCAGAGAGGAGAACCGGUUCAAAAGAAUCGCUGCGAGGUUUUCCCGGAAGAAACGGAUGGAAGGUAGCCCUGGAGUUGUCAUUGUGAACCAUCAACAGUAGCAGUGACCGGUUGAGCACCGUUAUCGUGCCGAAAGUGUAUACGUUUCUGUAUAAGUGACGUAUAAACAAAGGUGGUACCGCGAGACAACAGUCUUCGUCCUUUAU